rnacentral:rRNA from 1 species
CCUACGGGAGGCUGCAGUGAGGAAUAUUGGUCAAUGAGCGAGAGCCUGAACCAGCCAAGUCGCGUGAAGGCUGACGGCCCUACGGGUUGUAAACUUCUUUUGUCAGGGCGCAAUUGGGUCCACGCGUUGGCUUAGCGAGAGUACCUUAAGAACAAGCAUCGGCUAACUCCGUGCCAGCAGCCGCGGUAAUACGGAGGAUGCGAGCGUUAUACCGAUUUACUGGGUUUAAAGGGUGCGUAGGCGGAAUAUCAAGUCAGCGGUAAAAUUUCGGGGCUCAACCCCGUCGUGCCGUUGAAACUGAUGUUCUUGAGUGGGCGAGAAGUAUGCGGAAUGCGUGGUGUAGCGGUGAAAUGCAUAGAUAUCACGCAGAACUCCGAUUGCGAAGGCAGCAUACCGGCGCCCAACUGACGCUGAAGCACGAAAGCGUGGGUAUCGAACAGGAUUAGAUACCCUUGUAGUC